ACCUACGGGGGGCAGCAGUGAGGAAUAUUGGUCAAUGGGCGCAAGCCUGAACCAGCCAAGUCGCGUGAGGGAUGACGGUCCUAUGGAUUGUAAACCUCUUUUGUCGGGGAGCAAAGCGCGGUACGAGUACCGUGAAGGAGAGUACCCGAAGAAAAAGCAUCGGCUAACUCCGUGCCAGCAGCCGCGGUAAUACGGAGGAUGCGAGCGUUAUCCGGAUUUAUUGGGUUUAAAGGGUGCGUAGGCGGGCUUUUAAGUCAGCGGUAAAAAUUCGGGGCUCAACUCCGUCCGGCCGUUUAA
rnacentral:rRNA from 1 species